UACGGACGGAGACUUUCAAUUUUUUUUAGGUGAAACUCAAGCUAAAUGGAACUUUCGUGGUUUGCAUAUUAAUUUAAGAAAUUCUUUCAGAACAGACUAAAUUAUUUCAUGGCGUGCAGAAUUUCCCACAGUUAAAAAACUUAAAAGCCAUGAGAUAUCGCGAAAAUUGGUACAAUUGCAGAUGAGAUAGUUGAAUGAACGUGUUGAUGUACAAAUACCUUAGCACGUAAUUCAUUUCUUCUCUUCCACCGUUAUGGCUCGGACGCUAUUAAUGCUCUUAAUAAUCCGUGCUCCAGGCAGUCGUUUUGAAGUUUUGAGAUGUGAUAUGUACGUAGUUGUGGAACCUCAAGUUCUUUUAUGAGGGUUCUAACAGCAAGUGAAAUCGCCUCAGACACAACAGGAGGUAUUUGGAAAUGCAACUUGUAGAAUUUGCCAUUGUUUGGGAUCAUAUGGGAAAGACGUGCAAGGGCCUGCAGUGAAUAUCUUCUUUGUGUAAGGGAUACUUCAUCCAUUGACAGUACUAGUGUGUCCAUCCUCUUCUUGGUCAGCUUUGAACAUUUUAUGACAACCAUUUGUUUAAGUCGUAGUGCAAGUAAGUCUAUACUGUAUGUAUGUAUAUUCUCACUCAUGGAGCUGAGCCCUUCUUGAGAAGCUGUCAAUUGUACGCAUACU